rnacentral:rRNA from 1 species
AUUGAACGCUGGCGGCAUGCCUUACACAUGCAAGUCGAACGGUAACAGGUCUUCGGAUGCUGACGGAGUGGCGAACGGGUGAGUAAUACAUCGGAACGUGCCCGAUCGUGGGGGAUAACGAAGCGAAAGCUUUGCUAAUACCGCAUAAGAUCUAAGGAUGAAAGCAGGGGACCGCAAGGCCUUGCGCGAACGGAGCGGCCGAUGGCAGAUUAGGUAGUUGGUGGGAUAAAAGCUUACCAAGCCGACGAUCUGUAGCUGGUCUGAGAGGACGACCAGCCACACUGGGACUGAGACACGGCCCCAGACUCCUACGGGAGGCAGCAGUGGGGAAUUUUGGACAAUGGGCGCAAGCCUGAUCCAGCCAUGCCGCGUGCAGGAUGAAGGCCUUCGGGUUGUAAACUGCUUUUGUACGGAACGAAAAGACUCUGGUUAAUACCUGGGGUUCAUGACGGUACCGUAAGAAUAAGCACCGGCUAACUACGUG